GGAGACUCAGAUGUGAUUUAGAUUUCCUUAUUAAGCUACACCUGCGCAAGGAUGUAAUAGGGUACCCCUGAGCUUUUUCUAUUUCUAUUGCUAGGAAGGAAGAGGAGCCACAGUGGGGAGGCAUUUGAUUUUGUGUGUGGCUAUAGCAGAAAUUCUUGUGCAAUUCAUUUGGAGCACAGCCAAAGUUGGAACACCAUUCAGGAGUCAACAUGGCCAAAUCUCUUUACUCAGAAAUGUUCAAAUCCAAGAGAGACUAUAAGAUCACAGCCAAGGAUGCUGCUGCGGCAUCAUCUUACAGAUGCACAAAUGGAGAGGAUAAG
rnacentral:lncRNA from 1 species